UACGGAGGGAGCUAGCGUUGUUCGGAAUUACUGGGCGUAAAGCGCACGUAGGCGGCUACUCAAGUCAGAGGUGAAAGCCCAGGGCUCAACCCUGGAAUUGCCUUUGAAACUAGGUAGCUAGAACACGGGAGAGGUGAGUGGAAUUCCGAGUGUAGAGGUGAAAUUCGUAGAUAUUCGGAAGAACACCAGUGGCGAAGGCGGCUCACUGGACCGUUGUUGACGCUGAGGUGCGAAAGCGUGGGGAGCAAACAGGAUUAGAUACCCCGGUAGUCC
rnacentral:rRNA from 1 species